UACAGAGGUCUCAAGCGUUGUUCGGAUUCAUUGGGCGUAAAGGGUGCGUAGGCGGCGCGGUAAGUCGGGUGUGAAAUCUCGGAGCUUAACUCCGAAACUGCAUUCGAUACUGCCGUGCUUGAGGACUGGAGAGGAGACUGGAAUUUACGGUGUAGCGGUGAAAUGCGUAGAUAUCGUAAGGAAUGACCAGUGGCGAAGGCGGGUCUCUGGACAGUUCCUGACGCUGAGGCACGAAGGUCAGGGGGAGCAAACGGG
rnacentral:rRNA from 1 species